AUGAUUAAUAUACAUAAAAUACACCCACUAAUUAAAAUUAUAAAUUAUUCAUUUAUUGAUCUCCCCACACCAUCCAACAUCUCUACAUGAUGAAAUUUUGGCUCACUUCUUGGUGCCUGCUUAAUUCUCCAGACCAUCACAGGAUUAUUUCUGGCCAUACACUACACACCGGACACCUUAACUGCUUUCUCUUCAGUUGCCCAUAUCAACCGAGUUGUAAACUACGGCAGAAUAGUCCACUAUUUUCACGCUAACGGUGCUUCAAUAUUCUUCAUCUGCCUCUUCCUGCACGUUGGCCAAGGUUUAUAUUAUGGGUCACUUAUGUCCCUAGAAACCUGAAAUACUGGUAUUAUCCUCCUACUCAACAACUAUAGCAACAGCGUUUAUAGGCUACAUACUCCCAUGAGGCCAAAUAUCAUUCUGAGGCGCUACAGUAAUUACAAAUCUAUUAUCAGCCAUUCCAUAUAUUGGAACGGAUCUUGUUCAAUGAAUCUGAGGUGGGUUCUCAGUUGAUAAAGCCACUAUUGCAUGACUUUUCACCUUCCAUUUUAUCCUACCCUUCAUCAUUAUAGCCGUAGCAAUUCUCCACCUUUUAUUCUUGCAUGAAACAGGAUCCAGUAACCCUUCAGGAAUUUCAUCAGAUUCCAACAAAAUCACCUUCCACCCUUACUAUACAACCAAAGAUAUCCUAGGUCUAAUAUUUCUCCUCCUCCUUCUAAUAACUCUAGUAUUAUUUUGACCUGACUUCCCGAGCAAUCCAGACAAUUACACUUUAGCCAACCCCCUCAGUAUCCUACCCCACAUUAAGCCAGAAUGAUAUUUUUUGUUUGCAUACACAAUCUUACGAUCCAUCCCUAAUAAACUAGAAGGUGUACUGGCCCUUCUAUUCUCUAUUCUAUUCUAGCAGUUAUUCUUGUACUACAUACGUUCAAACAACAAAGCAUAAUAUUCUGCCCAUUAAGUCAAUGCCUGUUCUGAAUUUUAGUGGCGGACUUGCUUACAGUCACAUGAAUCAGAUGAUAGCCAGUUGAACAUCCUUUUGUUACCAUCGGACAGCCAGCAUCUAUUAUGUAAUUCUCCAUUUUCCUUGCCCUUAUACCACUCACUGCCCUAAUUGAAAAUAAGCUACUUAAAUGA
rnacentral:lncRNA from 1 species